rnacentral:rRNA from 1 species
UACGAAGGGUGCAAGCGUUACUCGGAAUUACUGGGCGUAAAGCGUGCGUAGGUGGUUUGUUAAGUCUGAUGUGAAAGCCCUGGGCUCAACCUGGGAAUGGCACUGGAUACUGGCAGGCUAGAGUGCGGUAGAGGGUAGUGGAAUUCCCGGUGUAGCAGUGAAAUGCGUAGAGAUCGGGAGGAACAUCUGUGGCGAAGGCGACUACCUGGACCAGCACUGACACUGAGGCACGAAAGCGUGGGGAGCAAACAGG